rnacentral:lncRNA from 1 species
CUUAGGUUGCAUUUUGUUACUUUUUAAAUAUUCUCAACAUUUACCAUGUCUUCCAUUCACUCUGCAGACUCCAGAUGAGCUCAGCUUUCCAAAAUCAGUUCUACCAACUCCUACCCUCCGGUACCAGGAUGAUCAGCAUAGCUGAAGGAUGUCACAAAAUUAUGAGGGACAUGGAUGAAUCUGGAGAACAUCAUCCUCAGCAAACUGACACAAGAACAGAAAAAAGCAUUUUUAUCAUUAUGUGAUCUAUGCUUAAAAAUAAUGUACACUGUAUGCACUUAAAUAUGUGCUAUACAUAAACACAGCUGCAUAUGUGUGUGUGUGUGUGUGUGUAAAUUUAUGCAUGUGUGUGUGUGUGAAGCCAAAGAAACCAAAUUAUACUAGGGGCAAAUAUUUGAUGUUUGCUUUCCACAUAGGAAGCAUUUGGCAAACAUUGCUUGACUAACUCACCCUCUCAAUGCUACUCUGAACAAAAUCUUUACCUGGAGC